GCUGAUAUAGCUCAGUAUCGGUAGAGCACACCUUUGGUAUAGGUGAGGUCGGCAGUUCAAUUCUGCCUAUCAGCA
rfam:Candidatus Riesia pediculischaeffi PTST contig_119, whole genome shotgun sequence.